rnacentral:rRNA from 1 species
GACGAACGCUGGCGGCGUGCUUAACACAUGCCAGUCGAACGAAAAGGCCCUGCUUUUGUGGGGUGCUCGAGUGGCGAACGGGUGAGUAACACGUGAGUAACCUGCCCUUGACUUUGGGAUAACUUCAGGAAACUGGGGCUAAUACCGGAUAGGAGCUCCUGCUGCAUGGUGGGGGUUGGAAAGUUUCGGCGGUUGGGGAUGGACUCGCGGCUUAUCAGCUUGUUGGUGGGGUAGUGGCUUACCAAGGCUUUGACGGGUAGCCGGCCUGAGAGGGUGACCGGCCACAUUGGGACUGAGAUACGGCCCAGACUCCUACGGGAGGCAGCAGUGGGGAAUAUUGCACAAUGGGCGGAAGCCUGAUGCAGCAACGCCGCGUGCGGGAUGACGGCCUUCGGGUUGUAAACCGCUUUCGCCUGUGACGAAGCGUGAGUGACGGUAAUGGGUAAAGAAGCACCGGCUAACUACGUG